UACGGAGGGAGCUAGCGUUGUUCGGAAUUACUGGGCGUAAAGCGCACGUAGGCGGCUUUGUAAGUUAGAGGUGAAAGCCCGGAGCUCAACUCCGGAAUUGCCUUUAAGACUGCAUCGCUUGAAUCCGGGAGAGGUGAGUGGAAUUCCGAGUGUAGAGGUGAAAUUCGUAGAUAUUCGGAAGAACACCAGUGGCGAAGGCGGCUCACUGGACCGGUAUUGACGCUGAGGUGCGAAAGCGUGGGGAGCGAACAGG
rnacentral:rRNA from 1 species